AGAGCGAACGCUGGCGGCAGGCUUAACACAUGCAAGUCGAGCGCGCGUAGCAAUACGUCAGCGGCAGACGGGUGAGUAACGCGUGGGAACAUACCUUUUGGUUCGGAACAACACAGGGAAACUUGUGCUAAUACCGGAUAAGCCCUUACGGGGAAAGAUUUAUCGCCGAAAGAUUGGCCCGCGUCUGAUUAGCUAGUUGGUGAGGUAAUGGCUCACCAAGGCGACGAUCAGUAGCUGGUCUGAGAGGAUGAUCAGCCACAUUGGGACUGAGACACGGCCCAAACUCCUACGGGAGGCAGCAGUGGGGAAUAUUGGACAAUGGGCGCAAGCCUGAUCCAGCCAUGCCGCGUGAGUGAUGAAGGCCCUAGGGUUGUAAAGCUCUUUUGUGCGGGAAGAUAAUGACGGUACCGCAAGAAUAAGCCCGGCUAACUUCGCGCCAGCAGCCGC
rnacentral:rRNA from 1 species